GUUUGCAGUUCAUCUGCAAUUGAGGGAGGCUUGGCACCCUCAUAAAAGGUAAUCUAUUGCAAAGUGUUUUUUCCUAUUUCUGGGGAAUGGCAUCAGGGUACUCCUAUGACCAUGACCACUACAGCCCUGUUGCUAAAUUAAUUUACCACUGGAUACACUUACCAAGAUAAAAGAAAUAAUACAGAACUCAGAAUGGGUUAACCUCAGCCUGGUCUGCCCCUUUAUUGCACUGAACAGUACAGGGUUUUUUGUUGUUAAUUUUAUUAUUUAUUUUGCUUGCCCUAGUAGCGGUAUUUUGUAUAUUGCAAAUGCAUCUUUUGAAGCGCUGACACUACAGUGAUUGGGGAUAUUCCCCUUGUGCCCACAGGAACCUGUCAUCAGGGAAUCUGUCACAACAGGGCAGGAGAUCAAAUUUGGGAAGUUCCAUCUCUAACAACUGCUGUUGGAAGGGUUUAUUGUAAAGAGCAGUGGGAUCAUAUCCAAAUCAGUUAUAUUUUGUAUAUUUUGUUAUAGGCUGGUAUAUGCUGACAGUGCUUCUUAUCCAUUCUAUAUUAAUCAAUCAUAUAUUGCAUGAACUUUAUGAUCCCUGUACAUACUACAUGUUAAAUCCACAUUUGAUGAGGAUUACACUAAUCGAGCAGUACAGAUUCAGAGCGAGAUAAGGAGCAUGCUGUUUGUAUAUGAUAACUGUUAUUGUUUUAUGGCAGGAAAAUACUGGUAACAUGCCCUUGCAACUUACAUGUCAUUGUGUAUAAUUUAAAAAGGAAGAAUGAGAUUUUUGUUCAGUAUACAAAAAAAAAAAUACUGUUUGCUAUUAACAAUAUUGGAAAUGUAUUCAAAUUGUAUUCUGUUUUUGUAUCACAUUAGUUGUCUAGGUUGAAAAAAGUCCAUCAAGUUCAACCUUGGAAGCCAUUAUUUUAUAUUGUUAAUCCAAAAGAAGGCAAAAAACCCAAUUGUAGCCAUUUCCAAUUAUGCCACAAAAAGGAAACAUCCUUCUUGACUCCAUAAUGGCAACCAGAUUUAUCCUUGGAUCAGCCACCUGUUUACAUUAAUAUCACUUGUAUCAUUGAAUAUUCCGUUUAUGCAAAAAAGUAUGUGCACAUAUAUAUAUUUUUUAAUAUCUAUAGAAUCUGAUAAGAUAACCUCUUUAGGCAGAUAACUCCACAUCUUUAUUGUUCUUACUGUGAAAAAAACUUUCCUCUACUGUAAGUGGAAGCACCUUCUUCUAGUCUCAAUAGGUGAUUAGUGAUGUCCUGAACAGUUCGCCGAACGGUUCGCGAACGGUCCGUGGCGAACCGUUCGGCGAACCGUGUCUGUUGUAUAUUCCUGCUAAUGAACAGGUUAGCACAUAGCAGUUUGUAUUGACCCUGUAUAUGUUGAUCCAAACCAGUAUUGUCCAUAUUUAUUUGGACCUAUUCAGUUUGUUUGUUUGUUUCUUGUCAACUCUACAAAUACUGAAUUAAAGAAAUGGAUGAGGAAAUUGGCCAAUUGCUAGCAUGCUAAACAAGUAGAGAGACAAUAUUAUCCCCUUCCUCCCCAUGGAGUGUAGGUUUCUUUUAAAUUGUAAUUGUCACAUGUGCUAUUUUUCCCACAAAAGUCGGUUAUGGAUUAAGCUACUUUACUUGUUCUUUUUUUUUUUUUUAAACUAUCAACAUAUUUUAUUUAUUUUUUUAUUUGCAUUUCGAUCAAAAUACGCACAUAGAACAGUAAGUAGUAAAGUGUAUAGAAAGUACAGUGUGUAUUUAACAUCACUUCUAAGUACAAAGAGUGUUGGAAUACAAUUAUAGAGUAUUUUGAAUGUAGACGAAAUACAUAACAUGAUAAAACAACUGUGCCUCUAAGAUGGAAAAUCCACUAAUGAGCACUUCACCAACCAAGAAGGUGCAAUGAAUGAGUAGUCAUUGUCAAGAGUUGUGUCAUUAUACCUACAUCUCAUAUGAUGAAUGUAAACAGAUUGCUAGGUGCUGGUAAAGCAUGGGAUUGCAGACUCUGCAUACAUGAACAACAUGCAGACACCAUAAAAAUCUCAGCUGGUAACCCCCAAGCACCACUUGUAAAAUUUGGAUUCUUCAUAUAUGACACUUAUGACUUACGUUAUAUGAUUUCUGUUUUAUGCUUUAUGUUUUAAGUUUUAUUACUCCUAUUCGAACUACUAGUUAGAUCAGUCUGUCUUUUUUUUUUUUUUCAAUGUGUUUUAUUUUCAUUUUAAAUUGUUCACGAAGGAACAAAGGAGGGGAGAAAAAAACAAAAAACAAAGCAAUAAUGUGGGUACAGAAAGAAAGAGGGGAAGGGGGAGACAGCUUACAUAACUUACAUCAAUCUUUACAAAUGCGUCGAUACACACUUUGUUAACAGGUUAAGAUAAAAGUGACAGUUGGCAUUUUGUCCAAUAUGUUACAUAGCAAUAAUAAUGAUACAGAUAAACAGUUUUUAUGCAGUUUUAUGCAGUUUUAUGCUGGGACCUGUUCCCUGGUGCUAGCUUGGUGCCUUUAGCCCUAACUGGGUAGGGGGGAAAGGUGGAGGGGAGUGGGGCGACGAUGGUGCUUCAUGCCAUAGAAACCGUCUUGGUGGGACGUAUUGUGCUCGAUUACUCAACGCAGGAGGUAGCCUUGGAGAUGCAAUGUAUGGCCUACAGCCCCUAUUGGGACACUCCAUAUCUAUAUUCCACCCAUCUGUGCCACCGUGUCUCGUGUCUGCUUUGACUAGCGUUUAGUCGGCUAGCCAUGCGUUCAUAUGUAUGUGUCGAGUCUAUUCUACCUAGGAUCUCUGGUAGUGUUGGAGCCAGUGUGGUCUUCCAACGGUGGGCAAUUGCAGUUUUGGUAGCCAUUAAACAGUGAAUCUUUAGGUAACUCUUAUCUUCAGGGAGGGUGUCUGGGAAGAUAUGUAAUAGAAAGCAUUCUGGGGUCAUUGGUACCUUUAUUCCCAGGUUUUUAUAAAGAAGUGUUUGUAUAUCCCGCCACAACGUAGUGAUCUGUGUGCAUGUCCAGAAUAUAUGGUAGAGGGACCCCUCUUGAUUGUGACAUCUCCAACAUUGUUUGUUUGACCCUGGGUAAAUAUGUGCCAGUUUGGUAGGGACUAGGUACCAGCGCAUCGUUGGUUUACAGAACGUUUCCCAUUGGUUAAGACUAUGGGAGGCCUGUUUUGUUUUCUUUUGAGCGUGAUGCCAUGUUGCUAUUGGGAAUUGCGUCCCUAUCUCCGAUUCCCAUUUAGUCAUAUACGAGGGUUUUGUUAUUUUAUUUUGAAGUAGGAGUGUAUUGUAGCAUAGGGACAUUGCUUUUAUUUUAGGUAGUUUACCCAUGCAUUUGUGGAUAAAUGGUGGUAAGAGAUUGGGUUCCUUCAGGCUAAUCCUGCACUCCUGUAUUAUAUUUCUUAUUCUAGAUAAGAGAAUAAUUCCCGUGGAGGGAUAUGGUAUUCCCUGAUUAAGUCUGGGAAUGGUUUGAUGCCUUCUGAGGUCAGUAAGGAGCGUACAUGAUAGACCCCUUGUUUAAGCCAGUUGUCUAGUUGCAUGUUUGUCGUUCGAGCAGCCAGGGCCUUAAGUGGCGCUGCAAGGAGCAGGUCAUUUUCUCAUAAAAAUAGUGGGGUAGCUUGCUUCCAAGUUUGGAGCAGCGAUUCCGUGGCAGGUAGCAAAGUUUUGGACUUGGGGAGUUUUGUUCCUGCCCAAAGGAUCAGAGGAAUCGUGCCAGUGGGUAAGCAAGCGUUCUCUAACGCUAGCCAUACUGGAGGAGAUGACCGCUCAAGGAUUGUAAGGCCUUGUGCCAACAAUGCCGCUUUGUAGUAUAGUUUUAUAUUAGGUAUGCCCAGCCUUCCUUUUGUGAACGGUCGCCAAAGUGAAUUUUGCGCUAUUCUUAGGGGUUUCCGUUUCCAAAUGUGUGCAUUAAUUAUAGCCUGAAAGUUCUUUAGAAUUGGGUUUGGGAUUGUAAUGGGUAGGGUGCGGAAUAAGUUUAAGAUAUGUGGUAAAAUCAUCAUUUUUAUGGUGUGGAUUCGCCCCAGCCAGGAAAUCUCUUUAUCCUCCCAGGUCUUAAGUUGUUGUUCCAGUCUGUGAAUAAGCGGUAUAUGGUUUUCCCAUAUUAUCGCCGAGUGCAUUGCUGGCAAUUUUCUGCCCAGAUAGGAGAUGGAGGUGUUCCGCCACUCAAAUGGGUACAAUGUUUUCAGGUGUGAUAGAGAGGCAUGUGUCAGCCCCAUCGCCAGCGCUUGUGUUUUUUUGUCGUUGUUGUUAUAGUAAGACAUCCUCCCGUAAUUCCCUAAUAGAGCUAGCAAGUUUGGUAAAGACUUCUCCGGGUGUGUUAAAAAUAGGAGAACAUCAUCCGCGAAGAGGGUUCCAUACAUAAAAUAAAGAUUAAUGGAGAGAGAGGACACCCCUGCCUGGAACCGUUUAUUUGAAAAGGUUGGGAUAAAAACCCAGAGUUAAAUAUUCUGGCUGCCGGUUUGGAGUAGAGGGCCAUUAUGCCUUUCAGGAAUUCCGGGGGGAUGCCCAUAGAUGUCAAUACAGCCCUCAUGUAUGCCCAAUUUAAGCGAUCAAACGCUUUUUCUGCGUCUAGGGCUAACAGUACGCCUCUCUGGUUAGUUUUCUGAGCCCAUGUGAUUAAGUUCAAGAAGUGUUGUGUAUUAUCCCCAGGCUGCCUGUUCGGAACAAAACCUGCCUGUUCUGGAGAGACCAAAUCUUGUAGGAAGGGUUGGAGACGUGUAGCUAGUAAUUUGGCAUAUAAUUUUGUGUCUGCAUUCAGCAGUGAGAUGGGUCUCAGGUUAGCACAUUCAGUGGGAGGUUUGCCAGGUUUAGGGAGUGUAACAAUAUGGGCUAGCAGCAUCUCCUCCGGCAUGGAUUCUGAGUCCCUAAAGGAGUUAAAAAGGUCUGUGAGGUAUGGUGUGAGCUGUGCCUCGAAUGUGGAGUAAAAGUGUUAGGGAACCCAUCCGGGCCCGGGGAUUUAUGUUUGGGUAAUUUGUGUAUUGCGUUUCGUACUUCUUUUUCUGUGAAUUUAGCUGACAGUAUCGAGCUUUGUUGGGUGGUCAGGCGUGGCAAUUGCACCUCUUUCAGAAAGAUGUCUAUUUCCGACUUUAGUGGUUGGUGUAGUGUUUUGUCCUGUGUAAGAUUGUAUAGACCAGUGUAGAAAUUCACCAAUUCGUUCACUAUGUCUUGUGGGUUAAAUAGUUUUGACCCUGUGGCUGAUGUCAUAUAUGGGAGUUUGGAUUGUAUGUAUCGGGAUUUUAGACGUUUUGCGAGCAAUUUGCCUGCCUUGUUUCCUUGCAUGUAGUAGGAGAGUUUCAACUUGCGAAGCUGCCUUUCCAUAUUUAUCAGGGACAGUGCAUGUAGCCUUUCUCUUAUCUUUUCAAUUUGUUGGGAUAAGGUUCUAGUUGGUUUUAGUUUGUUGUCCCUGUCUAAUGUUUUGAGUUGUGAGAGCAGUUUAUCUGUUUCGUUGUAAAUCUUCUGCUUAUUUAUCACUCCUGCUUGGAUUAGAAGGCCUCUUAGUACGGCUUUGAGGGCCAGCCAUUUAGUGUCUAUGCGUGAGGGAUCCGUUUGGUGGAUCUCAUAGAAUGAUGUUAUGUUUGCGCGAAUUUUGGCGGCUGUGUUCACGUUAUAUAUGAGGGAUUCGUUCAGGCGCCAUGCACUGCGCCCUCGAGCUGGGUACAUGGCUCUGAACGUAGUGAUUACUGGCGCAUGGUCAGACCAUGUCCUGUCACCUAUUUGCACUUCUAUAACAUUUGGUAUUGUGUUCUUAUCUACCCAACACGUGUCUAUACGAGUGUAAGUGUGGUGUACCCGUGAGAAAUAGGUGUAGUUUUUCUCCUUCGGGUAAAGAGUGCGCCAUGUGUCAUAGAAAUCAUACGUAUGAAGCAGUGUGCUAAGAGUAGCGCUUAUAGUGCUGGCUUGCUGUAAAGGGUGUUUACUCUCGAUACGCUUGAUGUCUAGUUCGGGGUCUAAUGUGCAAUUUAGGUCUCCACAGAUUAUAGUGUGUCCCACACGGAGGCUGGUAAUCUUAUUUAACGCCCUUUUUAUGAAGGAUGUUUGGGAAUUGUUAGGUGCAUAUAUGGAUGCAAUCGUGAGUUGCAUUCCGUUCAGUGAGCCCACCACUACGAGGAGCCUGCCUUGCUCAUCUACAUAUGUUUUGUCGGGUUGGAAUACCCAGACAUGGAACAGUAUUGCUACCCCUUUUGUUUUGUUUGAUGAAAGGGCGUGGAACACCUGUUGGUCUCUAGAGGACAUUAAUUUGGGAGGAUUUCUCUUACACAUGUGUGUCUCUUGGAGACAUACUAUGGCUGCCUGAGAAUUGUGCAUAGCUUUAAUCAUAGAACUUCUUUUGAAUGAACUGUUCAGGCCAUUUACGUUCAUGGAUAAACAUUUAAAUUGGUACGUCAUUUUUAAUGUACAAGUUUUCGGGGCCUUACAUCUAAUAGAGAACACUUUUCUUUAGCGUGUAUGGUCCCUAUGAUAAACUGAGGUGCAGUGUGAAACUGAUUGUGCCCUGGUGCCUGACAACAUCUUGUAUAUUUAUAGGUUGUUGCAGCUGCCGGGGUGUUGGAUAGGGGGUUAACAGGGUUAAAACAUGGGAUACAGAGAUUAAAAAAAACAAGUAUAUACAAUAUCUCUCUAACUUGAGAGUAUAGCAUGGGAUACAAAGGGGAGCCUUGGAGCUCCAUGUCCCUUGUAGUUCCCUAUGGGGGGUCGUGCGGAACAGGACCGCACCCGGGCCAGAUUCUGUUAAUAGACAACUCUGGUAUGGGUAGAUGUCAGGGGUAGUUAUGGACAUAGACAACAGUCCCACCUUUGUCAAAUACGGUCCGAGAAGGCAGUAUAAAAGGACAUGGUCAGAAUUCUUAGGGUGCUGCGUCAGGGGUAUUUUUUUAAAAUGUAUUUAUUUAUUUUUGUCUUUUAUAUAUUUGCAAGCAUUGCUCGAAUCUUUAUCUCCAACCCAUGGGAAAAGUCCCAACUAUUCUAGUGCUACGUGGCGUUAGUGAGGGGGCAGGCGAGGGCCCCGCCUGUGGUAUGUGUUGGAAGUUUAGCUGUGGUAAGAAGGUUAUCGGUAUCGUUUGAGCCCAACAUUAGUAACAGUACAUUUUAUCUUAGUGCGGGGACGUUAUCUAACCCCCAAUGGCAUUUGCAGUUUAUGUAUAAUAUACAGUUCCUAACCGGCUACAUUUUUGGUAGGCAAAUGCGUAAUAACUCCGGUUAGAGCUAAGCAUGUAACACAUCAUUUUUGGGACCAACGUCUGUGCAUGCCAGGUCUGUAAAUAACAGCAUGGGGGAAGCGUGGGCGUCUAGAGAGUGGCGAUCAAGGGGUGGACAAGGCUGGGACAUCCAUGCUUAGGAUGUAAAUGGGUUUUUUUUGUCUUUUUUCCUUACCCCCUUUCAGUCCCGAUAAACUAUUGCACUGAUGUGGGCCCCCGAUACAAUACCACUCUUGUCAGCUGGGGUCGUCGACCAUCAUCACUGCGGUAGCGUGUAGGCUUGGGUUGUGGUGUAAAAUUUUCAAGAACCAGUCCGUGGACAAUUUAGCUACUGUCCCGAGCGGGUGCAGCUUCGGUCAGUUAAGAUGUCUUCGUGCGACGUUGUAGAACUUGUUGUCAUGUGGAUCCAGGGGGAUGUUGUCUUUGUCAAUGUCUUUCUUAGUGUUGUAGGCCAACCAUCUGCCAUUCAGGCCCGAUCUUCUUCGGGGUGGCCGCAGCAUCCGUUGUUGACUGAACUUUUUCAGGUGCGUUCCAUAGGCCCCAGUGCUUCAGUGUGGAUAGACCUCCUAUUGGGUCGUCUAUGAUGUGGAGCUUGUUGUUCCUCCAUAUUAUUAAUUUUGUGGGGAACCCCCAAGCUUGAUCAUGGUUGCGUAAAGUCUUGGUGAUAGAGGAGAAUUCCUUCUGUCUCGCCAUUGUAAGGGCCGAGAGGUCGGUGUAUAUAGAGAUGGUGCUGUAUGGUUCGGGCAGUGGUGACUUAGCCCUGGCUGCUUUGAGAAGUGCUUCUUUGGCUUUAAAGUAAUGGAAGCGAGCGAUAAUGUCGCGUGGGACUUCCGCUCCGAACCUGGAUGGCUUAGGUAUGCGGUGGGCCCUGUCCAGUUCCCAAGUGAUACCGGAUAAAUCAGGGGCCAAUGUAGCGCUUAAAGCUGUUAUAAAUGUGGGGAUCUGGUCUGUUGUGACGGAUUCCGCGACCCCCCGAAAUGUUACAUUGUUUCGGCGGGAUCGGUCCUCCGUGUCCGCCAUCUUGUGCCACAAUUUUGUGUUGUCGUCUUCCAAUUUCUGUAGCUUGUCAGCCAUUAAAUUAUGCGCUGAGCAGAGGUCUUCUGUUUUUUGUUCGACCUGGUCUGUGCGGUCUCCUAAAUCCUCCAAUUCCUGAUGUAUACCCAAUAUGGCUGUAGUAAAAUCCUCUUUAAUUGUAGCUCUGAGGUCCAUGAGCAUUUGUUUUAAAUAAUCUUUCGAUAUUUGGCUGUCAUCCACUGUUAACUGUGAGGGCAUCUCAUUAUAGGCGUCAGGCUCCAGAGACUGAGCUCUGCUAGCGGUGCCAUCUUGGGCCUGUUUCUGCCGUUCUUUUUUGUGGUGUCGGACCGCGUCCGUUAGUUUUGUUUGCUUCGAGGGUGACAUAGGGACACUCUUGAACUUCACCUCCCACUUGAUUUUGAGUUUUUUGAGCUCUUUGGUAGAUAAUCUGGCCCGGGUGGUGCGGAGCUCCUACUCCAUGCGACCGAUCUUGCCGGAAGUUGGACACGCCCCAGAUCAGUCUGUCUUAAUGUCUAAUUAUGCCUGCCUACUCGACUGAAAUAUGGCCUGACUAGGCAUGUGCCUGGGGAAAGUAUUCGGCUCGGUUCGGCAUUCGUCAAUUCGGGACUUCGUCAAUUCGGGACUUCGUCAAUUCGGCACUUCAGCAACUUCGGAACUUCGGCAACUUCGGAACUUCGCCACUUCAGAACUUCGCCACUUCAGCACUUCGGAACCUCGCUACUUCGGAACUUCGGCACUUCUCUUGCAGCCACUUGAUAGAUAACUCCCUAAUUCCCACGGUAUUAGGGAGUUAUCUACCAAAAGGCUGAAAGACCAAUUUAGGUCUUAAUUACUUAGUAUUAGUAAAUUUUGCCCCUUACUCGCUAUACCGAGUUGGUUAUUAUGGAUUAAUUGUGUCGGUUAUUAUGGAUUUUUAUUUGGCCUUUUUUGCGGCUGAAAAAAGAUUUUAGAAGAAAGAAAACAUCAAAUGGUAAGUUUAUUUUUAUUUAUACAGUUAAAUUUGUAUUUAGGGUCCCCACCCGCCGCUCAGGGGUGAGGGCAGGGGGAGGACAUUAGGUCCCCCUCCCCCAAUUUGUAUAUGGGCCCCCACCCACCGCUCAGGGGUGGGGGUCAGGGGGGAGGAGAAUAGGUCCUCCCCCCUUUUUUCACUUUAGGGCCCCCAACCGCCUCUCAAGGGUGGGGGCCGGGGGUGGGGGGGCAAUAGGUCCCCCCCAUUAUUUUACUUUAGGGCCCCCACCUGCUACUCGGGGGGGGACAAUUGGUCCCCCCUUUAGUUUAAAAGCCCCCACUCGCACGUUGUGGGUGGGGGCUCAGGAGGGGGGACCUUUUCUUUUUCUUUUUUUUUUUUAACAGUGAGCAGCCAUUACUUGAUUGUUGUAAGUAUUGCAAAUGCUUGCAGCUGAAUCCUGGCUAUGUUUGUAUACUUUUUUUUUUUAAAUUGUAUACAAUGUAACGUUCUUCUUCUUUCACUGGGUAAGUAUAUUAGUACUUAGGCAAUACUGUGCUUCGGAACUUCGGAACUUCAGCACUUUGACACCUCGGAACUUCGGCAACUUCGGCACUUCGGCACUACUACACUUCGGAAAUUCGGUAAUUUUGGCACUUCGUGACUUCAGGACUUCGACAAUUCAGCACUAGGGCAAUUCAGCUUUUCGGAAGCACCCGAAUGUCUGAAUUGCCCGAAAUUUGGCCGAAUUUUCAUUUGGAGCGAAACUAAUUGCACAUGUCUAGGCCUGACUAUCUUAUAGUACGUUAAAAUAAGGCUCCUAAGCCAAAGGAGUUAAUUUCCUUUGGCUUUUUAAUAAUAAAACAUCCAUGUUCUAGCAAAUGUUCAUGCUUAGACACUAUUGUAUGCCUAUAAUUACUAUUUUUCCUGUUGUGUACUUUUUACUUGCCUCAAAAAAAAAAACAAUUGACAAAAAAAAAUAAAAAAAUAGUAGACUAGCACACAAGUAGGUGCAAUAAGCCAAGCUGCAUGUAGAAGAAUAGAAGGUAGUGAAGGUCCAAAAUUUAUAGUCUAAGGAGAGUGAGGUAUAAUUUUUCCAAUAAUAAAGGGAAAAUGUAUUUCAUACCUUGCAAAAAUUGGUUGCUAGGAGAAUUUACAGUAAAAAUAGAUCUAAAAGGACAACUGUCACCUCAAAAACUAUUUUUAAUAUAAUAACCCUUUCGUCAGGUUUUGAAAGGAAUUUUUUUUUUUUAAAUUGAAGUAUAUGUAUAAAAAAUUAAUAGAAAAACUAAUUCUUACGUUUAGUAUAUAACAGAAUCUUUCAGCCAUAUACAUGUACCUUGGGUUUGAAAACCAACAGUUAGUCUCUAUGGUUUCUCUGCUUCAAUCCCUGCACAGAAACAGGGAAGACCACAGAGACUGUCAUUAUUUAAAGGGACACUAUAGUCACCAGAACAACUACAGCUUAUUGCAUUUGUUCUGGUGAGUAGAACCAUUCCCUUCCGGCUUUUUGCUGUAAACACUGUCUUUUCAGAGAAAAUGCAGUGUUUACAUUACAGCUUAGUGAUAACUUCACUGGCCACUCCUCAUGGCUGCUAGAGUUGCUUUCUGGGGCACUGAUACACAGUGUGCAGCACUGCCAUUCAGUGUCUCCACCCUCUGCUUGCAGACACUGGACUUUCCUUAUAGAGAUGCACUGAUUCAAUUUAUCUCUAUGCAGGGGCGGACUGAGCACUCGGGCAAAUCGGUCAUGGACCGAGGGCCCGAGGCUCUGGGGGGCCCGCCCCUGCUGCAGUGCAGUAAUGGCUGAGCUGGGGAGUAAAACAAUCUCCCCAGCCAGCCUGCACUCAGUAAGGGGCCCGCACAGCCUUCCGCGGGCCCCUGCUGCUAAAAAUAUAAUCCCCCUUGCAGGGCACACUGAGGGACAGCUAAGGGGCCUUCCAAAGACCCCGCUAGGCUGCCCUCAGUGUGCCUGUCUCACUGAACACAGCCUCACUGAGCUGCCUGUAACUGCUCAGGGUAGCUCCGUGCAGCUUGUUCUGCAGGAAGUGACAUCAGCAGUCACAGUGCAGAGUGAGGAGCUGCCCUGAGCAGAGUUACAGGCAGCAUGUCAGCAUUGUGUGCCCUCCUUCAGAAGAGGACCACCAGAGAGGUAAGGUUUGGGAGGGGGGCUUUAUUUUUUUUUUUUAAAUUAAAAUGUUUUAUUAUAUAAUUUCCCCCACUACUGCCCCAUCAGAGCCCAUACCCCCCUUACUCCCAGUGCAUCCCCUACCUCCCUGCUCCCACUGCAUCCCCUACCCCCCUCCCACUGCAACCCCUACCCCCCACUGCAUCUUCUACCCCACUGCAUCUUCUACCCUGUAUCUCUAUAUAUACCUCGCAUCCCCUACCCCCCCAAUGCAUCCCCUCUACCCCUUGCUCCCACUGCAUCCCUACCCUCCCACUGCAUCCCUACCUCCCUGCUCCCACUGCAUCCCUCCCUCCCACUGCAACCCCUACCCCACCACCUCCACUCCCCCAAGAUCCCCUACCCCAAUGCAUCCCCUACCCCCCUGCUCCCACUGCAUCCCCACCCCCCUUGCUCCCACUGCAUCCCUCCCCACCCUCCCACUGCAUCCCUAGCCCCCUCCCACUGCAUCCCCUACCCCCUUGCCCCAGUGCAUCCCUCCCACUGCAUCCCUACCCUCCCACUGCAUCCCCUGCCCCCACCUCCCAUCCCCCUUGCUCCCACUGUGCCCCCUGUACUCCCCCCGCCCCACUGCACCCCCUGCUCGGCCCCCAGUGCAUCCCUGCACUCCCUGCUCCCAGUGCAUCCCUGCACUCCCCUGCUCCCAGUGCAUCCCGUACACCCUGCUCCCACUGCAUCCCCUACCCCCCACUGCAUCCCCUACCACCCUGCUCCUAGUGCAUCCCCUACCCCCCUGCUCCUAGUGCAUCCCCUACCUCCCUGCUCCCACUGCAGCUUUUACCUGCUGCUCCCACUGCAGCUCCUACCCCCUGCACUGUGCGCAAUAGUAGGGUUUCGCUUUUGGUAGUGGCUAGUGGGCUACCCAACUGCUCCCACUGCAUCUCUACCCAACUGCUCCCACUGCAUCUCCUAUUACCCUUUGCACCCACUACAGUCUGUCCCUCCUCUGCACCUACUACAGCCUCUAAUCCACCCUAUUCCCCCGUAUCCUCUACAGUCCCUCCCCUGCAGCCCCUUCCACUCGCACCCUUUACAGCCCCUUCCUUUCGGCACCCUCUGCAGUCCCUACCCCUUUGCACACACAAACAUAAAGGGACACUAUAGUUACCAGAACAACUACAGCUUAAUUUAUAUUAUACAGCUUAAUGUAUAGUAACAGCUUAAUGUUUAUUAUAUAGCUUAAUGUAGUUGUUCUGGUGAGGAUAGUAUACUACUGCAGGGUUUUUGCUGUAAAGACUGCCUUUUUUAGAGAAAAUGCAGUGUUUACAUUGCUUCCUAGGAACACCUAGGCGCUUCCUGUGUCAGUAUUGCAAAAUGUGCAGCACUGACAUUCAGCAUCUCCAUGAUCUGCAUGUCGACGCUGAACGCUUGUCAUAGAGAAGCACUGAUUCAAUGCAUCUCUAUGAUGGUGAUUGGCACAGCGUUUUGCUGCGCGUGCACAAUAGCCUUCUAGUGCUUUCCUAUGGAAGAGCAUAGGGUUGGCUGAGAUCAUCUAAAUUGAUGAACUCUGCCAAGGAGUUUGGUCGGUGCUGGGAAACAGGUGAGUAAAUCGCAUUUUUAAGGGGGGGAAUACACAUUUGUAUUCCUGACACUAUAGUGUUCCUUUAAAGGGACACUCCAGGCACCCAGACCACUUCUGCCCAUUGGAGUGGUCUGGGUGCCAACUCCCACUACCCUUAACCCUGCAAGUGUAGUCAUUGCAGUUUUUAUAAACUGCAAUAAUUACCUUGCAGGGUUAACUCUUUCUCUAGUGGCUGUAUACUAGACAGCCACCAGAGGGCACUUCCUGGUCUAUAGCACAGGAUUUCUGUGCUAUAGUGUCGCUGGACGUCCUCACGCUGUGUGAGGACCUCCAGCGUCGCUAAAAUUCCCAUAGGAAAGCAUUGAAAAGCAUUUUCAAUGCUUUCCUAUGCAGAGGUCUAAUGCGCCUGCGCGGCAUUGCCGCGCAUGCGUAUUAGGUCUCCCCCGACGGCUGACGUGAUGAAGGGGAGGAGCAUGAGCGGAGGAAGAAGCAGCGACGUGGGACAUGUCGCUGUCUCUGGUAAGUCACUGAAGGGGUUUUCACCCCUUCAGCAACCGGGGAUGGAAGGUGGGAGGGAGAGGGGACCUGCAGUGCCAGGAAAACGGAUUGUUUUCCUGGCACUGGAGAGUCCCUUUAAGGUGGCUCGUAACAUUUAACACUUGGUUUCACAAAUACCCCCUUUUACAUACUGCCAUGCUACACAAACACACACAAAAAAAUACUACCCUAUUCACAAAACCAAAAACAUGUAUUCAAAUAUACUAAUCAUCCACAUAUCCUGACACUACACAUAAAGACAUACAUAUAUUCACUUACCCUAGUGCUCACAGUGAAUAUACACACAGAAACAUGCAUUCACUUUACAUGUACAUACAAUCAAAUAUACGGUACACCUAUACCAGCAUAUAUAUCGGUCUGCUGGGGGCCCAGGUGCUAAUUUUGCCCGGGGGCCCAGGCCACUGUCAGUCCGUCCCUGUCUCUAUGAGGACCAGGGCUGUGUUUGACUUAGUGUCUGUAUAUAAAUAGUCAUAUGAGUUUGUUAGCUCUCACGUGGAUGCCCUGAGCAGGCUAAAUACUGAGCCAUGGGGAGCAGAAAAUAACUGUCAAAAGACCUACGUAACAAGGUAAUGGAACAUUAUAAAGAUGGAAAAGGAUAUAAAAAGAUAUGUAAAGCAAGUACUGCUCAAUCAAUCACUUAUUAAGAAGUGGAAAAUUUGGGGAUCUCUUGAUACCAAGCCAAGGACAGGUAGACCAACAAAGAUUUCUGCCAUAAAUGCCAGAAGAAUUGUUCGGUAUACAAAGAAAACCCCACAAAUAACCUCAGGAGAAAUACAGGUUGCAUUGGAAAACGAUUGUAUGGUUGUUUCAGGGAGCACAAUACGAAAUAUACUGCAUCAAUGCCACAAAAAAGCCGGUUACAAUAUGCCUGACAACACCUUGACAUGCCUCACAGCUUCUGCCACACUGUAAUUUGGAAUGACGAGACCAAAAUAGAGCUUUAUGGUCACAACCAUAAGCACUAUGUUUGGAAGGCUGAUAGUGAAAAGAAUACUGUCCCUACUGAUGUUUUGGGGUGUUUGAUCUCUAAAAGCACGGGGGAAAAUUGAUGGCAAGAUGAAUGCAGCAUGUUAUCAGAAAAUACUGGCAGACAAUUUGCAUUCUUCUGCACAAAGGCUGCGCAUGGGACGCUCUUGGACUUUCCAGCAUGACAAUGACCCAAAUGGUCUUGAGUAAGUCCUGUGAACAGGAUGAAAUGCGUAGAUGCAGUGCGUUUCUCCUUUCUGUUAUCUAUAUUGAUUGUUGCUGAUAUCCAUCAAGUAUAUCUACAGUUUACUGCCUGUGUGACUGGCUUCAUUGAGAUCAUAUGUGUUCUACCAUUCAUCAACAAGUCAAGCAGUUUUUUUUAUUACCACAUUUCGAUCUUAGAAUAGCUGUUUCUAUUUUUGAAUCAUCUGGAUCGUCACCUCGGUUUUUUGGGCCCUCUAACCCCACCCGAGGUCAGGUACUUUUACAUCUGUUAUAUCAGCAGGUACCUUUUGAACUUUGGGAUUUUUAAUUUUUUUGUACCUUUUUAUUACACUUUUUUAUACUUUUCAAUAUUAAUGUUGUUUUUGUAUAUUUAUUUGGUAAUUUUUCUCUUAGAGAGGGGUAUUUAUCCAGUAUCUUACAUUACCUACAGUUUUUAUACAAUUUACAUGCAAUGUUAUUAAAAGGGGGUCUCACUAAGAUUUGCAACAUUUAGUUGUUCAACCCCCUUUGUGUUCACAUCUACUUUCCCUUUGGACUGCAACAUGCUGCUUCUGUAUUAAUUGAAACUGUUGCAGUUUUUGGGAAGUAUAUGUUAUUAACCCCUUAACGCCGUUACGGCGUUCUAUGCCGUCGCGGCUUUAAAGGGCUUUAAAGCCAUUGCGGCGGCACAGAACGGCUUAAGCCCCCAGAGGACUCACCUCCGCCGCGAUCCUCUUCUGGAGGGCUGCCUGACCGCCCAGGCAGCCCUCCUCCGGCAAAUGAGGCCCCCGGGAGCCAUGUGAUCGCUCUCAAAGAGCGAUCACAUGGCCCCCUAUAGCUGGCUGUGGAUCUGCCAGCAGGGGGGCUGUCUGAAAUAUCAGACAGUCCCCCUGCUGGUGGGAAAUGUAAAAAAAAAAAAUUAGAAGUGUAAAAAUAAAUUCAAUAUAUUUAUAUAUAUAUAUAUAUAUAUAUAUAUGUAUAUAUAUAUAAUAUAUAUACAUAUUAUAUAUUUAUAACGUCAUACGUUGUGUAUUUUAAUACUAAUAUUAGUAUAUAUAUUAGUAUUAAAAUACACUUAGAAUGACAUUACAUAUAUAUAAUAUGUAUAUAUAUUAUAUAUAUAAUAUAUAUAUACACAUAUAUUAUAUAUAUAUAUAUAUACGUAUAAUUACAAUAAUAAAUAAAUAAAAUAAUAAAAUAAAUACAUAAAAUAUUGAAACAAAAUUUUAUUAAAAUUAUAUAUUCAUAUGUAAUUUCAUUCUAACUGUAUUUUGUUAUUAAUAUAUAUAUAUAGGUAACAAAAUACACUUAGAAUGACAUUCCAUAUAUAUCUAUCUACAUAUAAAAUACAAAUAACCGCAAAUAUAUAUAUAGAUAAAUACAUAUAAUUACAUAAAAGAUUACAUAAGUAUACACGUAGAAUUUAAAUACCUAUAAAUGCAUAUAUAUUAAAAUUCUACGUGUAUAUUUAAGUACUCUUUUAACAUAAUUAUGUGAUUUGAUUAAUUAAAAUUUGAUUGACAUGCCUGACAACACAGGGAGAAAGUGCAGAGAAUUUAAUUCGCAAGCACUAUAUUUGACCCUGUAACUCUCCAAAACACCAUAAAACUUGUACAUAGGGGGUAAUGUUUUACUCGGGAGACUUCGCUGAACUCAAAUAUUAGUGUUUCAAACUGGUAAAUUUUAUUACAACGAUGAUAUUUUAAGUAAAAGUGCAGUUUUUUGCAUUUUUUACAAACAAACUGCACUUUUAUGGACUAUAUUAUUGUUGUAAUAUGUUUUACUGUUUUAAAACACUAAUAUUUGUGUUUAGUGAAGUCUCCCGAGAAUAACAAUACCCCCAUGUACAGGUUUUAUUGUGUUUUAGAAAGUUAGAGAGUCACAUAUAAGGCUUGCAUUUCAUUUUUUUUUACAUUGAAAUUUGCCAGAUUGAUUAUGUUGCCUUUGAGACCGUAUGGUAGUCCAGGGAUAAGAAUUACCCCGAUGAUGGCAUACCAAUUGCAAAAGUAGACAACCCAAGGUAUUGCAAAUAGGGUAUGUCCAGUCAUUUUUAGUAGCCACUUAGUCACAAACACUGGCCAAAUAUUAGUUUUUUGCUUUUUUCACACAAAAACAAAUAUGAACGCUAACUUUGGCCAGUGUUUGUGACUAAGUGGCUACUUAAAAAGACUAAACAUACCCCACGUUCAAUACUUUGGGUUGUCUACUUUUUCAAAUGGUAUGCCAUUAUGGGGGUAAUUCUCAUUCCUGGGCUACCACAUCGUCUCAAAGGUAACAUUACUAAUCUGGCAAAUUUCAAUUUGAAAAUGGAACGUUCUAUAUUUGACCCUGUAACUUUCCAAAACACCAUAAAACCUGUUAAUGGGGGGUACUGUUGUACUCGUGAGACAUCGCUGAUUACAAACAUGGGCAUUCUUUUGCAGUAAUACCUAACAGUAUUAUGACAUUAACAGCUAAAAUGUCAGACGUAAAUACAAAUUUUAAAAAAAAUCUUAUUUUCUCAAUUUUUUUUAUAUUUUAUUCAUAACAAAUUAUGUUCCAUAUAUGAAUAGUUAAUGAUAAAUUAAAGCCCUGUUUCUCCUGAACAAAAUGAUAUAUAAUAAGUGUGGGUGCACUUAAUGUGACAGCGGUGAAUUACGGGUGAACAGACAUAUAGCGCAAAUUCCAGUUUUUGUUUACAUUUUGUUUUGAUCAGAACGUGCACUAUUGACUCCGUCCUGAAGGGGUUAACCAAUGUUAGAAUUGGAUACAUCAUUUAUUUAUUGUGUUAUAUGUCCCACCUAAGAGUUAUUAAUUACAUCUAGGGUAAUUGUUUUUCAUUGUUUUAGCUGGUAUUUUUUAUUAAAGGUAAAUAUUUUUUAUAUUAAUUAUUUGUGGAGCGCACAUGCUAUAUAUUUUUAGUUAAUUUGACCCUAAGCAUAAGGCCAAGUUGACCCUCCACUGGUUACAGCAGAAAAAGUUGAAGGUUCUCGAGUGGCCAUCACAGUCUCCUGACCUUAAUAUCAUCGAGCCACUCUAGGUAGAUCUCAAACUUGCAGUUCAUCCAAGACGACCAAAGAUUUUGCAUGACCUAGAGAUAUUUUGCCAAGACGAAUGGGCAGCUACAUCCCCUGCAAAAAUUAGGGGCCUCAUAGACAACUAUUACAAAACACUGCACUCAUGUUUUCUUUACAAAUGGUACAUAUAUUGCCAAUUCUCCAAGGGUAUGCAAACCUUUCAGCACAGCUGGAUUUGGCUUAAUAAUUCUGUCAUAUAAUAAAGGUAGGGAUGACUUUUUCUCAUUUUUUACAAAUAUCUAAUUUAGAAAAUCUAUUUCCUUUGUAGUGUAGUGGGUUAGGAGAUGGAGAGCAGUGGAAGGAAGCUAACAGUUGAAUUGACAUGCAUUUUAGAAGUAAUUGGUUUGUUGUGAUUUUUGACAGAAUUUAGACUUGGGGAAAGUCUACUGGAGUGGGGAAGAGAAUUCCACUGGCACGGGGCAGCCCAAGAUAUGCAUUGAAGGUAAGAGUUGGAAGAUAUGGUGCUUUAUAAAAAAACAAUAAUAAGAAGAAUAAAAAUAAAAUGAUGGCACUGGCUCCAAAGCCCUUGCUAGAAGUAGUACUUUAAAAAAAAUAUAUAUAUAUAUAUAUAUAUAUAUAUAUUGUUUGAGUAAAAAAUGACAUCUCCUUUUCUUUACUAAAAUCGUGGCGAGCUUAUACAAAUAUACAACAGUAUAACAGCAUAUAGGAGUACAGAAUACAAUCAUUUUUAAAUAUUCAGUACAUUGUUUUUUUUCUCGUGUUAAUUCACUAGUCUUGGUAAGGAUGAAAAUUAUUGUGAAAAACAUGUUCCAUAGAUUUAAGAUUUUAAAGCAUUUUCGUAAAAGGAUCUUUACGAAAACUUCUUACGUUUGCAUGAUGUGUUUGUCAAUUAUCACGUUGAUUUUCAUAGAGAAUUUAUAUGUAAAAUCCAGAUUUGAAUUUGCAUGUGAUCAUCAACUAUUCAAAUACAUAUUGUUGUUUUUUUAUCAUUAGAAUAUAGCAAUGAUAUUUUAAAAUAGAAAAAGCCUAGAUAUUAUUAAUUAUAAACACUUUAGAAACAUUUAUUUUUUAUAAAUUAAAUUAAAGUGAGUACUGUUGGAGUUGGGAUGUUAUUUGUAGGAAAAAUAUGAGCUUUCUAUAUGCCAACACACCUAAGUUGCAUUUUUAAUAUAAAUGAAGGUUUAUUAUUAUGAGACAGCAAGGCUAGCACACUGGGUUACUUUAGGGGCUUUCAGAUUUCAAGUGGAAUAAUGGUACAGACAGAAUGCAACCAGUUUCUUAGAAAUGGAACAUGCAGUGGCUGUAACAUGGUUGAAAUGUAUUUUAGGGAAAAGACAUAAAAAAUUGAACAAAAGAUCACAUGACUUGAAACCACACCAUUACGUGUCUUAAUGGUGCCAUGAAAAGCAUCGCCUGAAUAGAGAAAGCUCAACAGUCUAAUCUUAAGCAUCUGUUGGCAUAUAAACAAGAAGCGUGUCUUCCUAAACAGCAGAUGUCUUCUUAUGAGUAGAAAGUCAACAGCAUGGGUGUAAGAACUGUAGGAAUGGAGAAAAGAACCCCCCUCAACCCAAAAAUCUGGUGUUCUGUUUAAAAUUACAUGGUUUCACUUUAACAGAAAGAUAAAAAAAUAAAAUAAAUAUGUUUAAGCAGUUUUUUUUUUAUCUCAUUCUCGAGUCAUAACACUGCAAUGACCUCUUUAAACGAUAUAUACACUAGCAUUUAUAGGGAAAUGUUUAUAUUUAAAAAUAUUAAAUAGGGUACAUUUCCUUUUCUUUUAAGGAGUACCACUUAAUGAUACACCCUGUGAUGUCUGACGUUGCCUUUUGUGCCAUAACCACAAGAACAAACACAGGUAUUGUGUAAAUUCUGCAUAAUAUAUUUUGAGAUUAUUUUAAAAUACUGGCCAAUGCUACCACUUGCACCUCUUAAUGGGAGUGUGAAAUGAAAACAUUUCUCCAUAUCCAUAAGUUCACAUUCACUUCCAAAUUUCAAUACUUCCAAAAACUCCCUGCUCUUACAACUCGUCAAUGCCUCUGUGAGUGUCUGUUGGGCUGUAUACAAAGUCACACCACACCACUUUGGAUUACAUCUGUAAGCAUUAAUAACCAUACUUAUGCAUCAGAACUUGUGGUUAAGAAAAGUGGAAGAAAUCCAAUAAAGAAUAACCUGGUCUGACUUCCAAUGAAGACUCACUGGUGGCUUUGCUGAACUGAAAUCGUAUGUUUUCAGUUUCCCAAUCACUGCUGCUUCGAUCACCAUAUUAUCUUUUUAAAAAUGCAUGAUAAAAUCUAGAAAUCACGGUGCAUGUACAUGCUAUCUUGCACGUCAGCUCUCAGGGUAUGUUUUGGCCUGUAGUCUGGGUAUCAAUUAGUUUAAAGUUUGUUAAUUAUCAGUUUAUUCACAGCAUCUAGCACACAGAUUAGUUACAUAUGGAUGUUCAGAGUGAUCUCCCAGAUGUCCAACUAUGGAUGUGCGCUGCUACGACCUGAACACGCUUCAAGAACUGGAAAGGGGAAGGAUUUCCAUGGCAUGCACCAAUCCAGCAUGUGCACGUAGUACUCAUCUAUGACAGCAAAGGAGGAAUUAAAAUUUCUGAUUUGAUGUUUGUAACUUAAGGGGCAGUUUUAUAGUUGAAGCAGUUUUUGAAAAUAUUUUAUGUUUCUGCAUCCAUGUGUUAUGCAUGUCUUUCAUCAGAAUACCAAAAAAUAUAUCAGAAUGGUCAGACCCAGGCUUCACAAACAGAACAUCUAUAUACCCAAAAUAGCAGAAACAGACAUGAUCUCUCACCUCUCCCAACUCAACUCCAUACCGCCUUUACAUAAGGACAGGAUUAGUAUUACUUUACCCCAAGGAUCAAUAUUUUUUUUUCACUUGGGACACAUUUCUAGAACUUUGCUCUUUUUUUCUUUGUUUU